UGGUGGAGUGAUUUGUCUGGUUAAUUCCGAUAACGAACGAGACCUUAACCUGCUAAAUAGUCAGCGGCCAGCGAAAUGUGGUCUGCGUCGGACUUCUUAGAGGGACUUUCGGCGACUAGCCGAAGGAAGUUUGAGGCAAUAACA
rnacentral:rRNA from 1 species